UACGUAGGGGGCGAGCGUUGUCCGGAAUCAUUGGGCGUAAAGCGCGUGUAGGCGGCCCGGUAAGUCCGCUGUGAAAGUCCAGGGCUCAACCCUGGGAUGCCGGUGGAUACUGUCGGGCUCGAGUCCGGAAGAGGCGAGUGGAAUUCCUGGUGUAGCGGUGGAAUGCGCAGAUAUCGGGAGGAACACCAGUGGCGAAGGCGACUACCUGGC
rnacentral:rRNA from 1 species